UACAGAGACCGCAAGCGUUAUUCGGAUUCACUGGGCGUAAAGGGUGCGCAGGCGGCCAAGUGUGUGAGGCGUGAAAGCCCGGGGCUUAACCCCGGAAUUGCACCUCAAACUACAUGGCUAGAGCAUUGGAGAGGGUAGCAGAAUUCAUGGUGUAGCAGUGAAAUGCGUAGAUAUCAUGAGGAAUACCAGAGGCGAAGGCGGCUACCUGGACAAUUGCUGACGCUCAGGCACGAAAGCGUGGGGAGCAAAAGGG
rnacentral:rRNA from 1 species